UUGUCUUUCCUUUUUUUUUUUUUAUGACACGCAACACAGUAGUUAUAAAACGUUACCCCCCAAGAAAAGACGACAUAGGAGAAGAAACAUUCAUUACGGAAAUUAAAAUGCUUGGCACUUGCAAGCAUCCAAGGAUAGUCAAACUACUUGGAUUUUGUGUUGAUGAUUCUGAGAUGAUCCUUGUCAUUGAGCAUCUUCCUAAUCAAUACCUUGAAGAUUAUUGGAUAAACCUCAACUUGAGGCCUUUUCUUACUUGGGCAAAACGGUUGAAAAUCUGUCUCGAUAUUGCAAAUGCACUAAAUUAUCUUCAUUAUGAGAUGGAGGACCAAAAGACCAUAAUACACCGUGAUAUUAAGAGCUACUACAUUGCGUUGGAUGAGAAUUGGGGGGCAAAGAUUGUUGACUUUCGAUACUCGGUAUUCCUGCCUCCGAAUCAAGAUGGCGACGCUCUUUAUCACAAUUCUUAUAUCGGCACUCGAGAGUAUAUCGAUCCAGAAUAUAGGGGGACUGGUAAGUUGAAAAGAGAAUCAGAUGUAUAUGGUUUUGGAGUAGUUCUGUUUGAAGUUCUAUGUGGUAGAUUAGCCUAUGACCCGAUAUAUCUUAUGGAGAGUGAGCAAGGGUUGGCGUUUGUGGCACGACGAUGCUUCCGAGAGGGAACACUAAUAGAAAUGAUAGAUCCUAUAUUAAAGGAACCAAGGGGAGAAAACGACUUUAUUCUAAAUAGAGGACCAAACAAAUAUUCCUUAAAGAAAUUUGUAAACAUUGCCUACAAGUGCAUAGCAGAAACUCAAGACCGACGACCAACAAUAAAAGUGGUCAUUCAGGAGCUUCAGGAUGCCUUGUUCUUUCAGGAGGAAGAAGAGCACGUAGAUAGGGUACAUGUUGCUGACGAAGUUGAGGAAUCCAUGGAACUUACGUUGAGUCCUAAUUAUGCGGUGGAAGAGGAGCACUUAGAUAUGGUACAUGUUGCUGACGAAGUUGAGGAAUUGAUGGAACUUACGUUCACACCUGAUUAUGCGAUAAAAAAAUUGGAGAACUUAAAGAUUCCCCUCAGUGAUAUACUGCUGGCCACAGAAAACUUUUCCGCGACAUACAGAAUAGUGCCCACCUCAUACAAAUACUUAGAAUUUUACAGAGCAGAACUCGAGCAUUUUGAUGUAGAAAAGCCUUCCAUCAAAGAAGAAGAGAAUAAAAGUGAUAUGUGCAGGACACGUAACACAGUAGUUAUAGAACGUUUCCGCCCAAGAAAUCAAAUAGAAAUAGAAAUGUUCUACACAGAGUUUAAAAUGCUUAACACUUGCAAGCAUCCAAACAUAAUCAAAUUACUUGGAUUUUGUGUUGAAGAUUCUGAGAUGAUCAUUGUUGUUGAACAUCUUUCUAAUGCAUACCUCUAUGAUUACUGGAAAAACACCGACAUGAGGCAUACUCUUACUUGGGAAAAACGUUUGAAAAUUUGCCUUGAUGUUGCAAAUGCAUUGAAUUACCUUCAAACAGAGAUGGAGGACCAAAAGGCGAUAAUACACCGUGGUAUUAUGAGCUACAACAUAGAAUUGGACGAGAAUUGGGGGGCAAAAGUUAUUGGUUUUCAGCUGUCGGUAUUCCUGCCUCCGAAUCAAGAUGACGACACCCUCUAUCACAGUUUUCGUUCCGGUGUUCUUCGCUACAGGGAUCCAGAAUAUUGGGAGACUGGCAAGUUGAAAAGAGAAUCAGAUGUGUAUAGUUUUGGUGUAGUUUUGUUUGAAAUCCUAUGUGGGAGGUUAGCCUAUGACCCAAUAUACUUAAAAGAGAGUGAAGAAUUUGGGCUAGCGUUUGUGGCACGACAAUGCUUCCAAGAGGGAACACUAACGGAAAUGAUAGAUCCUAUAUUAAAGGAACAAAGGGGUGAAAAGAGCUUAACUCUAAAUAGAGGACCAAACAAAGAUUCUUUGGAGAAAUUUGUAAAAAUUGCACACCGGUGCAUAGCAACAACUCAAGACAAACGCCCAACAAUGAAAGUGGUCAUCCAGGAGCUUCAGGAUGCCUUAUUCUUUCAGGAAAACAACAAGGACGAACCCAAAAUUUCACUUGAAGUCAUAAGAUUGGCCACAAAAAACUUCGAUGAUGAGAAUUGCAUUGGGAGAGGAGGAUUCGGGAACGUUUAUAAAGGAGAAGUUCCACAAGGUGACAGGCUCAAUACUAUUAUUGUUGCGAAGCGAUUGGACACAAGGCUUGGUCAAGGAGAGCAGCAAUUUAGGAAUGAGAUCCAAAUUCUUUUCGAGUAUAAACAUGAGAAUAUCAUCUCUCUUGUGGGAUAUUGUGAUGAAGAGAAGGAAAAAAUCAUUGUUUACGAGUAUGCAUCUCAAGGAAGUCUUAAUAACUAUUUGAAGGAUGUUCGUCUUACAUGGGUGAAACGACUUGAUAUAUGUAUUGAUGUUGCAACUGCCCUGGCUUUCCUUCAUGGAGGAGCUGGAAAACAAGCAAUAGUGAUACAUAGGGACAUCAAAACUGAUAACAUUCUACUAAUUAAUGAUGAGUGGCAUGCAAAGCUUGCUGAUUUUGGGCUUUCCUUGAUAAGUCCAAUAAAUCAGGAAACAGACUAUGUCAUUGAUCAUGCAUGUGGCACUCGAGGCUAUUUGGACCCACUUUACAUGAAAUCGGGUUUCUUAACCAAAGAAUCCGAUAUUUAUUCAUUUGGGGUGGUUUUGUUUGAGAUCAUGAGUGGCAGAUCAACGUUUGAGAUCUAUAAACGUAAUCGUCAGCAUCUACCAGAUUUCACCAAAGUGAGUUUUGAAAAUGGAAAACAUGAUGACUUGGUAUUUGAGGCGCUAAAAGAACAGAUUGUGCCAAAAGCAUUGACUGCAUUUCAAACGAUUGCCUACCAGUGCUUACACGAUGAUAGAGAAAAACGGCCAACAGCAAAAGAAGUUCUACAACAACUAAAGGAGGCUCGGGAAUUCCAAAGACAAGCUAUGAGAGAACAUGAUGAAGCCUUAGAAAAACUUAAUGGAACAGAGAUUAGUACCAAACCUAUUGCUUUGGUGGUCAAUGAAAAACCUGACCUGCACACUAGACUCAUUGAUGACCUUGACGAACAUGUAGAAGUUACAGAUGACCUUGCUGGGUUUUGUGGUUGUUUUGCGGUUAUUUCGAGGCUAUUUUGUUGCAGAUUUACAGCUUUUUUUGCCACUGUUUAAUGGCUCUUAUGAUGCUUAUCGGUCAUGAAGUAAAUUUUUUUUGCCCCCAAUAAGACAAAUUCCUGGAUCUGCCUAUUCAUUAUUGUUACUCUGUGAAUGUUCAGUUCAAGUUAUACAUGAGAGCCCAAACUGCCUAGAGACUACAAAGAGUCAAUCAUGUUAUUUCUAAGAGACACUAUAUAUAAAGGGGAAAAGUUAGAUUUCUGGAAGUGAUUGAGCUAGCUUAUGACAUCCAGUAUUUAAUGCAAAUGAAUGAGUGAAGGUUGAAUUUUUGGAUCAAUUGAUGGAGCUGCGUGUCGUAUGAAAGUUCAACUCAACAUUCGAGCUUAGAAAUGAUUGUACUUAUGUAAGUUGUAACCCAUGAAUUCUUGCCAAAAAGAAACGGCAUAAGAUACAAAGUCGUCACAUUGUUUUCACUAGAUUGUUCACAUAUAGAUCGAGAUACAAGGAACAAUGCAUUAACCGGAUGGAUGAGAAACAAUACUUGAAUGUUUAUCAUUUGUAAUGAUCUUUUUAUUUUCUCCA